rnacentral:rRNA from 1 species
UACGUAGGGUGCAAGCGUUGUCCGGAAUUAUUGGGCGUAAAGAGCUCGUAGGCGGUUUGUCGCGUCGGCUGUGAAAGCCCGGAGCUCAACUCCGGGUCUGCAGUCGAUACGGGCAGACUUGAGUGUUGCAGGGGAGACUGGAAUUCCUGGUGUAGCGGUGAAAUGCGCAGAUAUCAGGAGGAACACCGGUGGCGAAGGCGGGUCUCUGGGCAACAACUGACGCUGAGAAGCGAAAGCAUGGGGAGCGAACAGG